rnacentral:rRNA from 1 species
GACUUUUAAAAUGUAAGAUAUUUUAGCACGAACGGACCGCCUAUUUUAGUUAAAUGAUUAUUUAUUUCUGAAUUUUAGUAAAAAAAAAAAUAAAAAAUUAUUUUUUAAUAGUUAAUAUUAUAUAUAUAUAUAUAUAUAUAUAUAUAUAUAUAUU